CAUGGAGCCGUCAGGGAGAUGGCUAGAAAGCUGAUCCCACAUCCUUCCUCCCAGAAGGGCUUGGAAUUGGUGCAGUCAUGCUGUUGGGUGAGCUUUCGAGGACAUGAACGUCUGGCAAAGAAAAGACAUGAGUCUAUUUUACCAGUUUGUAAAAGAAGGAAUCCAUAUUUGACUGCUUUUGCAGAAUCUACACUGUGGACUUCCAGCCUCUUCUAUCUUGAGGCAAAAGUACUUUACAAGCAUGUCAUUUACUCCUUUCUGCUCUUACUCCUCUUAUCAGAAAUCGUGAUCAGAAACAGAAACUCUAGGGAGAGAUGAGAUGAGGAUUCAAGUCCUGGUCAAGGACACCUGGGCAGGAAGCUUACCCACAUGAGGAGAUUUAAUAUGACUCCUAUGGUCUCUUCACACACCCUGCUGUGGUCUUCUCAGCAUUAAUAUUUUAGUACACGAACACGUCAUAAAACAUUCCAACCAGAGGGCUAACUUUCGCCGAUAAUGACAGUGACCUGUAAAUGGAUUACAUCAGUGGCAAACCUAGGAGAUCGAGACCCAAACUGUGAAAUAAACCAGAUCAACACUGUGUCUGUGGAGAGGAAAAGUCAAGACAGAUUUUCAAAUCCUAAUUCAGUUUCAUUUUUGAUAUCUUCAGCAUCCCAGUAUUGGGUCUUUGCUCUCUAGUUUUCUUGCAUCAGGGGAGAGUUGUUAAUAUUCAGAGAUGCUGCAGGGUAUGACAGAGCCCCUGUAUAGUAAAUCUUGCAGCUGGACUGUAUUUUUUCUCUCUGCUUUCUGCAUUUCUCUCCUGACGUGCAGCUACAACUGUUCUCUGUAUCUAAUUACAGCUAUGCCCUGAUGUGUUGGGCGUGAGGUCUACUCUUAGCUGGGAAUUAAUUGUAGUCCGUCAGAUUUUGCAGUUCCACCCUCACCAUACAGCGGUCAGGUUAUUUCAUUGUCCUGUUACACUGAUAUCUUUUGAACAUUUAAAACCUAAAAGUCAGAGCUCUGGGUGACGAUUGAAGAGGGAAGAAAUGUUUGAUGUAUGAAUGAAAUCAAUAAACACACAGAAAGAGGCGAAUGGGAGAGAAAAAAACACCCCUUUAAGUACAGAAAGUAAAUUUUUAUUGAAGAAGCAAAUGUGACAUCUUCAGCCUCUGACCGAACUGUUUAUGUAUUUUUUCUGUCAGAUCACUUUAAUGUUUAAAUUCCUUAAAUUAUGUAACACAUUUUAUCACAUAUCUAUAUUUAAUAAGGGGGAAAGGUAGUUGGAUGCACAUCCCAUCUUAUAGCUUGCCCAGAGUCAGGAUAACAGAUUCAUAUGCACCCAGAAGUGUUAUGUCCAUGCACUGAAAAUUUCAUGGUUUAUUUGACAUGUUUAUCAUUUCAUGUGGCUUUAAAGGCUCGUCUCAUGGGAGCACAUGUGAAAGAGCUGCAGAGAGAGAGAAAAAAUACUGUUUGACUGAAGUGGACAGCUCCCUGACUUUUACCCACAGUUUCAAAUCUAUAGCUGAAGGUUUAGACAGUAUCAAUCAAUCAAUCAAACAUUAUUCUUUAAGCACUUUUUGUAUAUAGAAUGUAGCGCAGAGUGCUGUCCAUUCAAGCAGGAUAUUAAAAACAAUGAGAUAUAAUAAAUGAAAAUAUAAAUACCAAACCCCACUCACCCUACCAACCCCCAUUCAACACAUACAGCUCUCACAUGCUUACACACACAGAUGCAUACACAAAAGACCAGGUGAGGACUCUUCAACUUGCCACAGAUGACUGAGGAAACGCUAUCUUGAGUUAAAAGAAAUGAGGAAACACUGGAUCUAGGACUAAAACGAUAAAACCAUGAUAAAAUAUAAUAAAGGUGAUAAAGCGUUAAAAGUUAACUUAGUAAAACUGUCUUAAAAUCAAACAAUAAUUGAAAGUAAGUUAAAAAAGAGGUAAUAAAACAAAAAAUAGUCACUCUAGGACUAAAAUAGGGUAAAAUCACAUAAUUCAGAUUAAAAGAUUCAAACAAAAUUCAACUUAAAGACAGACUAAAAAGGUCUUGAGUUUACUUUUAAAAGUAGACUUCUGAUUUGUUUGUCGUACAUCUGUUGAAGGAAAAGAGCUUCUGUCUUAAUGACUGUCCACUGAAUAGUAUAGAAGUGCCAUGAACCUGGUGUUUUUCUAACUACAGGUAAAUGUAUAUGGAGAAGAUGAAUCAUUAUAAGUAAAAAAAAAUACAACCCAUGAGUAAAAGUUGACCCCCCUCUAUGCCCCGAACUCAUUUUAUUAAUAGUUUUGUGAUAAUAAAGCAACACAGAAUAGCUGACCUUGUGUUGUCACAGUUUCAACCCAGUUAUCUACUGAAACCUACUUAAAAUUGCUGUGAAAUAUGAUUAGCUGUGACAAUUGUAGUCCAUUGAUACAAAUUAAAUAUAAUCCAAUUAUGUGGUGAAACUUUUGGUUUCCUUUGAAGUGUGCAGUUUCCCACUUCCCUUAUUUAAUUAUCAAGCUGUGCAGAAAGAAGUCCCUGUUCCUCUUACCUCAUUCGGCAAAUUCUGAGACUCCAUGCAGAUGUUUUGGGCCACAGAGUUUCUGAGCCCCAGGGUAAAACUCAGUAUCUGAACAGUUUUCUCUUUGUGUUCCUUGAGUUGCAUUCAUGGACAGUUGCAUGGUUUUUAGCCUUGAUGGUUUUCUGUUUUUUGCUUCUUGGUUCACUCACAGUUGAGAUGAGAAAAGGGCACCUGGCUCCUGUCCAAAUCUUCCUACUUACAACAAAAGUGCGCUCCUUAGUGAAGAGCAAGCGGAAAAAAAAGGGAAAAACACAAAAUAAAAUAUAAUAACAUGCUUUUGAUAUUUUGCCCUGAACUGAUGUCAGUUCCUGUUAUAACUGUAUUUCUGCUCUUAUCAUUGACUGCUGCAGGAACAAAAUGUGGAGGAUGAAAAAUAGGAGGAUGUAUUGGAUUUGACUGGCAGAUACUGAGAAUCAAAGACUCUCUGAACUCUGUGACUUUCAAACAGGACACGUCAAAGCAGUGCCUUCAAACAGACCAAGGCUUUGGCCCACAUAAGCCCUUUCAAGCCAGACAUCUGACACAUGACAAGGGUCCCUGACUACACAAAGCCUAUUAUUUUAUUUACAGCACAGAGUUAAAGGGCAUUUACUGCAUUGUUGCAGAAUUUUAAAAUUUAUUGUCAUGUAGAUAUCAAUCCGCUUUGGUCGUGCAGACAUAAUGUGAACAGGAACUAUUCACGUCAUCAGUUCAAUAGCCUAAAUCAGGUGACUUCUGGGCCUCAUGAGGUUUGCAGCCCAGUAUAAGUGCAAUGACUAUCAACCCUAGAACACUAUCGCCGGGUGAUUUUCACCCGACCAAACAUGUGUACGUGAUUUUCAUUAUGUUGCGUUUGUCUGAGUAUCAUGGGUCCCUGGGUAGCUUCAGCAUUGCCUUUGACAUCUUUGAAGGCAUAUUUGUUUCCCUAAUCGGAAACCCACUUUUUCCUACAGGCACAUGUUCGGAUGAGUUUAUAGUGAUAGAGGGUAAUGUAGGGAAUAAAGUCAGUAAGAGUGGUCCGUGCAUUUGCAUGCUAUCUUUAUUUAGCACAGUGGUUAUGAAUAACUAUCACAAAGUAGUGAUUUUCAAGGGAAUUCAUAUGGUGAUAAGAAAUAUUUUAGAGAGCUGGUCAUUUUUACUCACUCAAAAUAUGCCAUAUUUUGGUUCUCUCUCCUGCAGCUGUUACUGUGCCAAGGACCCUGUGUAUAGACUGUAAAUAGAAUGGACGUCAUCUGCCUCCUCACUGGGUGAAGCCAUUCCGAGAACAGCACCCUCUGGUGACGGGCUGCAGUAUAGGUCAUAAAUCCCACCUCCGCCAGCAAAGCUUAUGGAGCUGUUGGACAAACUUUAGAGCUUUAUUUAGAAAUGGAAUAUACAUUUUUCUCCCCCCUGCUUGCGAUGUUGUUGACAUGUAGUUACAGUAAGACUGGUUUGUGCUCAAGUCCUCUUUUUUCUGUGAAGCUCCAUUUUUAAAAGUUAUUUGGGGGUUCAUGUUUUCUACGACUGACCCUUGAUACACCCUACAGGUGUACGAAAACUGCGUAGCUCAACUGGGGGCGACAGCCCACAUUUGGCUUAAGCAUGUGAUGAUGUUUCCAGCUUUUCUAGCCAAUCAGAGGCGAAGGAGGCGGGACUUUCCCCUACCGCCCAACAAAAAAAGGUAUCGCACCCGGGGGGUACGCUGUUUGAGCCGAG
rnacentral:lncRNA from 1 species